rnacentral:rRNA from 1 species
GACGAACGCUGGCGGCGUGCUUAACACAUGCAAGUCGAACGGAAAGGCCCUGCUUUUGUGGGGUGCUCGAGUGGCGAACGGGUGAGUAACACGUGAGUAACCUGCCCUUGACUUUGGGAUAACUUCAGGAAACUGGGGCUAAUACCGGAUAGGAGCUCCUGCUGCAUGGUGGGGGUUGGAAAGUUUCGGCGGUUGGGGAUGGACUCGCGGCUUAUCAGCUUGUUGGUGGGGUAGUGGCUUACCAAGGCUUUGACGGGUAGCCGGCCUGAGAGGGUGACCGGCAACAUGGGGACUGAGAUACGGCCCAGACUCCGACGGGAGGCAGCAGUGGGAAAUAUUGCACAAUGGGCGGAAGCCUGCUGCAGCAACGCCGCGUGCGGAAGGACGGCCUUCGGGUGGUAAACCGCUUUCGCCGGUGACGAAGCGUGGGUGACGUAAAGGGGUAAAGAAGCACCGGCGAACUACGU